rnacentral:lncRNA from 1 species
AUAUAUCAAGUUUUUCAUUAAACUGAGGGAUAUUUAUCUUCAAAUUUUAGCUCAAAACCACAGUCUUAAAAUGAUACUUGGAUAAUCGAUCAAUCCUAAGGAUUAGUUUUCUAUCACUAGAUUAGAUGAUAAUUUUAGAAGCAUAGAUAAUUUGAGACCAUUGCUAUAUAAAAUUAUCACGAUGUAAUUACAUCCAUCGACAUAAUCCUUGAUUUUGGGAUGAUCAUUCUAUUGUGGUGUAGAGUGGGGGG